AUUGAACGCUGGCGGCAGGCCUAACACAUGCAAGUCGAGCGGUAGCACAGAGAGCUUGCUCUCGGGUGACGAGCGGCGGACGGGUGAGUAAUGUCUGGGAAACUGCCUGAUGGAGGGGGAUAACUACUGGAAACGGUAGCUAAUACCGCAUAACGUCGCAAGACCAAAGUGGGGGACCUUCGGGCCUCAUGCCAUCAGAUGUGCCCAGAUGGGAUUAGCUGGUAGGUGGGGUAACGGCUCACCUAGGCGACGAUCCCUAGCUGGUCUGAGAGGAUGACCAGCCACACUGGAACUGAGACACGGUCCAGACUCCUACGGGAGGCAGCAGUGGGGAAUAUUGCACAAUGGGCGCAAGCCUGAUGCAGCCAUGCCGCGUGUGUGAAGAAGGCCUUCGGGUUGUAAAGCACUUUCAGCGGGGAGGAAGGCGGUGAGGUUAAUAACCUCAUCGAUUGACGUUACCCGCAGAAGAAGCACCGGCUAACUCCGUGCCAGCAGCCGCGGUAAUACGGAGGGUGCAAGCGUUAAUCGGAAUUACUGGGCGUAAAGCGCACGCAGGCGGUCUGUCAAGUCGGAUGUGAAAUCCCCGGGCUCAACCUGGGAACUGCAUUCGAAACUGGCAGGCUAGAGUCUUGUAGAGGGGGGUAGAAUUCCAGGUGUAGCGGUGAAAUGCGUAGAGAUCUGGAGGAAUACCGGUGGCGGAAGGCGGCCCCCUGGACAAAGACUGACGCUCAGGUGCGAAAGCGUGGGGAGCAAACAGGAUUAGAUACCCUGGUAGUCCACGCUGUAAACGAUGUCGAUUUGGAGGUUGUGCCCUUGAGGCGUGGCUUCCGGAGCUAACGCGUUAAAUCGACCGCCUGGGGAGUACGGCCGCAAGGUUAAAACUCAAAUGAAUUGACGGGGGCCCGCACAAGCGGUGGAGCAUGUGGUUUAAUUCGAUGCAACGCGAAGAACCUUACCUGGUCUUGACAUCCACAGAACUUAGCAGAGAUGGUUUGGUGCCUUCGGGAACUGUGAGACAGGUGCUGCAUGGCUGUCGUCAGCUCGUGUUGUGAAAUGUUGGGUUAAGUCCCGCAACGAGCGCAACCCUUAUCCUUUGUUGCCAGCGGUCCGGCCGGGAACUCAAAGGAGACUGCCAGUGAUAAACUGGAGGAAGGUGGGGAUGACGUCAAGUCAUCAUGGCCCUUACGACCAGGGCUACACACGUGCUACAAUGGCAUAUACAAAGAGAAGCGACCUCGCGAGAGCAAGCGGACCUCAUAAAGUAUGUCGUAGUCCGGAUUGGAGUCUGCAACUCGACUCCAUGAAGUCGGAAUCGCUAGUAAUCGUAGAUCAGAAUGCUACGGUGAAUACGUUCCCGGGCCUUGUACACACCGCCCGUCACACCAUGGGAGUGGGUUGCAAAAGAAGUAGGUAGCUUAACCUUCGGGAGGGCGCUUACCACUUUGUGAUUCAUGACUGGGGUGA
rnacentral:rRNA from 1 species